AUUACAUUGGUUUUUUUGAAAUUCUGUUAUUGGCAGUUUCUAUUGCCUAUCAAUCCCAUUUAAAGAUAGUGCAUAGGGUAUUCUAAAAUAGCUGUUAAGCAAAGAGAAAAUUGGGCCUGAUAGGGUGAGAAUCACAGCUCUAAUACCUAGAGUGACCUUAUAAUGUAUUGUCCAAAGGAGAUAUUUUUGACAGUGAAAGAGGAGGGUGUUGUUAGUAAUUAUAUCAGGACCAUGGCCUAAACCAGGACUAUCCCAGGCAGCCUGGGACAUAUUUGUACCCCAUCUCUAUUUAAUGCCUUCAUACAAUUCUUUACUUAAUUCUACCAGCCUUUAUUGAGCCUGCUUUCUUUGUCUAGCUGAGUGCCACGUGCUGACAUCACUAAGAUCAAUACAGCAAACUCUGAAAGAUGGACAGAGAGACAGGAGAUGGUCCUUUAUAAUGCAGUGUGAUCUGUGCUGCAAUAGAGGUGAGCACAAGGGCCUUACGAAGGCUCAAUGAAGAGCAUGCUUGACUGCAGGGGAG
rnacentral:lncRNA from 1 species